rnacentral:rRNA from 1 species
CUACGGGUUGCAGCAGUAAGGAAUAUUGCGCAAUGGAGGCAACUCUGACGCAGCCAUGCCGCGUGCAGGAAGAAGGCCUUAUGGGUCGUAAACUGCUUUUAUUUAGGAAUAAACCCCCGAACGUGUUCGGGGCUGAAGGUACUAAACGAAUAAGCACCGGCUAACUCCGUGCCAGCAGCCGCGGUAAUACGGAGGGUGCAAGCGUUAUCCGGAUUUAUUGGGUUUAAAGGGUGCGCAGGCGGGCUAUUAAGUCAGUGGUGAAAUCCCGGGGCUCAACUCCGGAACUGCCAUUGAUACUGAUAGUCUUGAGUUUGGUUGAAGUGGGCGGAAUGUAGCAUGUAGCGGUGAAAUGCAUAGAUAUGCUACAGAACACCAAUCGCGAAGGCAGCUCACUAAGCCAAAACUGACGCUCAUGCACGAAAGCGUGGGGAUCAAACAGGAUUAGAUACCCUAGUAGUC